AAUGAACGCUGGUGGCAGGCCUAACACAUGCAAGUCGAACGAGUGGCGGACGGGUGAGUAAGGGAGGGGAAAGUGCACGAUGGAGGGGGAUAAAUACUGGAAACGGUAGCUAAUACCGCAUAACAUCGGAUGUGCUGUACUUGGAUUAGAGAGUGGGUGGGGUAACGGCGCACCGAGGCGACGAUGCCGAGCUGGUCGGAGAGGGUGACCUGCCACACUGGGACUGAGACACGGUCCAGACUCCGACGGGAGGCAGGAGUGUGGAAUCUUGGACAAUGGGCGCAAGCCUGACGCAGCAACGCCGCGUGAGUGAAGAAGGCCUUCGGGUUGUAAAGUACUUUCAUCAAAGAGGCGUUACUCGCACAAGAAGCAUCGGCUAACUCCGUGCCAGCCGCCGCGGUAAUAC
rnacentral:rRNA from 1 species